GGUGUACAGGACAAUGACCUAUGAUUUGACAGACAGUGUGGCUGCGUGUGUCUGUCAUUCUGUAGGCCAAUAUUCUGUAUGUCUCUCCUCCUUACAA